CUUCCUCAAGUGUCUCCUGUCGAUUGUCUCCCCUGAUUCCUAAUUGUCUCCACCUGUUCCCUCACCUCCCUCAUGGAUACUUAUUGUCUGCGUCUCCCUUUGUCCUGUGCCAGUGUGUCUUGUAGUCGUGCAUGUCCACACCCGCGUUAGUGUUAGUUUGUGAAAGGAUCUUUGUAUAUGGUAUUAUUAGAUAUAGGAAUUAUUGGAAUAAAUCUCUAGCAGUCAAAACUCUCUGCGUCCUUGUCCUCCUCCCUGGCUCCGGCCUCACUGACAAUCCCCUUUCCCCACCCGGGGCAGAAACACUUUGGCGAUGGCGUGCUAAACGCUUUUUUGCAUCCACUUUGAUGUCAGACCAUUUUUUCUUUUUUUCGGCCACGGUCUGAGGUUGUGAGGCUGCAGUGUUGCUCUGCAACCUUUUGCCACUCAAGUGCCUUUUUGGCCCAUACUGUGCCCUCCAAAAAGCAUUUCACUUCCCCUUUCCACCUCCCAAUGAUCAUUUGUACUUCACACUGAGUGAAGUUACGUGUCUUCGUUUUCCUCUCAGUCUCAAUGAUUUCGGAAUCGAUGAAUAUUAAUUUGUGGGCGUUCCACAGACUAUAUAUGGGCAACUAUGGGUGUGACAUGAAGCCACAAAAACUGCGCUGCAUUUAGAAGUGAUUGUGAUUUAUUAAGGGAAAACUGCAUAGGACGUGCGUGCGCACGUUUUUCUAUGUCUGAAUAUUUCUGUGCGUACGCACGUCCUGGGCGGGCGGCACGGUGGCGUGGUGGUUAGCACUGUCGCCUCACAGCAAGAAGGUCUUUGGUUCAAACCCACCCAGCCGCUGUGGCCUUUCUGUUUGGAGUUUGCAUGUUAACAGCAUGGGUUCUCUUCGGGUCCUUUCGCUUCCACAACCGAGUGAAUAACUGGGAACAACCAAUGCCUAACAAGGAGAGUGUCAGGGAUGCGUGGGGGAGGCAGGACUCAAACGCAGACUUCUUUAGAAAAUAAAAGACUUUAAUUGUCAAAAAGGCAAAAGCAAAAGGCCAACAGGCAAAAACGCACACGAACCAGGGGAAAAACGGCAGAAAGGAACUACGAACAUCCCCGACGAUAGACAAUAACGCCACAAGUGACACAAGAGACACACGGCUUAAAUACACAAGGGAGGUGCAGGUGAUUGGACAUAGGUGGAAACUAUUAGACGUUUACAGGUGAUGACAGGACAAGGCAGGAAGUGAAGUUACCCGGGGACACGAGUGGCAGAAAACUACAAAAUAAGACAGGAAGUGAACCACACCGUGACAGAGUGGGCAACAUGCCUAAUAGAGCCAAGGAUAACAACUGGGGCUGGCACAACAAAGCCGGACAUAGUUGCGUACACCACAGGAGGUCUAGUCGUACUCGAUACUGCAAUCAUGAGUCACCUCCAUGGAGAAGGCUUUCAGACAAAAGUUCAAAAAAGAUUUUUGUUUCACAAGUCGCGAACUAGGUCAACUUCCCUCCUAAAGACCAUCCAGCAAGUGGAGCCUCCAGACAGCCACCGACGAGGUAUAUGCAGUGCCUGGCUAAAUCUGGAGAACGGGCCAACCCUGCCAUGCAUGCUCCCCAGUUGACCAGGGAGCUGCGGCAGCCAGCAACCAAGCAGAUAAGUUGAAAGAACUGGCAAGUAUGAUAAAGGAUCUCACCUGGUCACAAGCUCCCUGUGUCAGAAGCUCUCUCUGCCCUCUUACGACACAACGGACACAACAUCCUCAC
ensembl:lncRNA